UAGUAUAUAUAUAUAUUAUAUAUUAUCAGGUAAUUAUUCGCAUUUUUUUCUUAUUGAACUUCCAACGAUGUUCAAUAACGAGUGCAAAUUACGCUGAGUUUUUCUCGAAAAGUGAAAGAAAGAGUGGGGAGUUGAUGUAGACCGGACAAAAAGAGAACGAGAAGAAGGGGGGGAAAGAGAGUAAGUAAGUGAGAAAGAGAGAGAGAAAGAGAAAGAGAGGGAAGGGUUGAUGAGUGCAACCGGUGUCUUCCUCCCCACCUUCCGCUUCGGACAGACGGCAAAACGACCUCGCGGCUUUCCGUUACCUAAAUCGUUCUGUCAGUUUACUACGAUAUCUCGUUGAAGACUGACGUUUCUGUGACAAACAUUUCGCGACAAUAACUAAAUAGUUCAUAUAACAUUGGUGACAAAUUUUUAAAUGAUAUCGAAAAAAGCAACGUGUGUCUUGAUUCAUUCUUCAAAACUCAAAUUUCAACGAGAAAUCGAAAAGGAAGAAUGCAUCGCGGUUUACGACACUUCGGAUUUUUCUUUAGAUUUUCCCUCGGUUUUUUAAAUUAAGCGUUCCGUUCCCGUCCGAAGUAAACCAUAAUUCGUUUAUCAAGUUACUGGUACUCUCUCCUUCGCUCCGCCCCCAAAGAAAAUUCUAUUCAUUAUUCCUCUACAAAUAUAAUAUUUCGAUUUGUUCUCGUUAAAAUAACGUAUAUUUGUCAGAAUCAAGCGUUGACAAAAUUUCGCUAAUAAAUUCUUUAUACAAUUCGAUGUACCUUUAUGGGAAUACAUGGUUUAUACAACGAGAUCUUUUAAUCUUUAAAAAAAAAUGUUCAACAAAUAUAAUUGAAUUACAAGAUUUGAAAAAGUACUUACUCAGAUAACGCAUCGUUUUAUGGUGUUUUCUUAAGAUCUUGAAAAAUCGUCGAAUUUUCUUCGUAAUACGCAGAGAUGAUCGAACACGAAAGAAUCAUUCGUUAAAAUGUAUAAAAUACAUGAAGUAAAUGUAAACUAUAUGAGAGUACAAUCAAAGGAUAACGUGAAAGAAAGGACAUGAUAACAGAAAAAAAUAAAAACGGAGAGAGAGGGAGAGAGACAAACGGAACUCAAGUAAAAACUCAGAAACAAAAAGAGAGAUGAAGAGAAAGUGAGAAUGAAACGAGUGAGGAGAGCAGAGAGUGGGAGAGCGAGUUAUUAAGAGCACGGGGAAGGUCGAGCAUGGUGGGGUGGUACCUAGUGACGUAAUUAAUUCAAAACGAAGACACGACGCAGCGCCACGGAAGGGAAACAAUCAGCUGUUGACUCUCCUCGGAGGUAUUUGGCGCGCUAGCUCUUUUGCUCGUAAAGAAGAAAAAAAACACUAAUAAAAAAAAACAUAAUUA